UGGGGAAUUUUCCGCAAUGGGCGCAAGCCUGACGGAGCAAUACCGCGUGAGGGAGGAAGGCUUUUGGGUUGUAAACCUCUUUUCUCAAGGAAGAAGCACUGACGGUACUUGAGGAAUCAGCAUCGGCUAACUCCGUGCCAGCAGCCGCGGUAAUACAGAGGGGGCAAGCGUUGUCCGGACUUACUGGGCGUAAAGCGCACGCAGGUGGUAACGCAAGUGGGGUGUGAAAGCCGCCAGCUCAACUGGCGGAGGCCAUCCCAAACUGCGUCACUUGAGGCCUGUAGAGGUAUGUGGAAUUGCCGGUGUAGUGGUGAAAUGCGUAGAGAUCGGCAGGAACACCCAGGGGGAAGCCAGCAUACUGGACAGGUCCUGACACUCAGGUGCGACAGCGUGGGGAGCGAACCGGAUUAGAUACCCGCGUAGUCC
rnacentral:rRNA from 1 species